AAACAGCAGGUUUGGAAUUUAUUUCUUUGGUGAUAGCAAUAAUCUGCUUGAUAAUUUCUGUGAUUCUCAAUAUUAUUUUCAUCUGCUGCCGAACUCCAAGAGCAGCAUGUGAACAAUUUCAAAAAAAAAGCUCUUCACAGGAAAGACAAGAUGACUUGAGGCAAACAGUGGACAGUAGUCCUGAAGGUGAAUAUGAUCUGAACUACGCUGCACUGCAUUUCUCUGGAAGCAAAGCUGCAAGAGGAAAGAAGAGGAAGAAUGAACUGGAAACUGAAGAAAGUGUGUAUUCUCAAGUUAAAUGCAGAAUGUGAAAGUGUGUAUGAAAAACUGUGGGUUGACUUUGAGUAUCUCAU